rnacentral:sRNA from 1 species
UAACCGGGUUAUAGAUUUAAUUGUCUAACAGUUAGAGUUGCCACAAAGGAUUCUCAGAUACUUCGAGACCAAAAAUUAAACUGAGAGAUGUUGGGACCCACAGUAAAGUGGGAACCCUCCAAAAAUAGGCGUAUGCCACUUAGCGUGGAGAGCACACGGUAUUCUUUAGUAAAAGGCGAAAGAAUAGUUCGCUAUGUGCUCACCACAUGGCUGCGUG